CACCAGACUCCUACGGGAGGCAGCAGUGAGGAAUAUUGGUCAAUGGGCGGAAGCCUGAACCAGCCAAGUCGCGUGAGGGAAUAAGGCCCUACGGGUCGUAAACCUCUUUUGCCGGGGAGCAACGGGCGCCACGUGUGGCGCCACUGAGAGUACCCGGAGAAAAAGCAUCGGCUAACUCCGUGCCAGCAGCCGCGGUAAUACGGAGGAUGCGAGCGUUAUCCGGAUUCACUGGGUGUAAAGGGAGCGUAGACGACCAAGCAAGCCAGGGGUGAAAGCCCGGGGCCCAACCCCGGGACUGCCCUUGGAACUGCAUGGCUGGAGUGCGGGAGGGGCAGGCGGAAUUCCUGGUGUAGCGGUGAAAUGCGUAGAUAUCAGGAGGAACACCGGCGGCGAAGGCGGCCUGCUGGACUGCGACUGACGUUGAGGCUCGAAAGCGUGGGGAGCGAACAGGAUUAGAUACCCCAGUAA
rnacentral:rRNA from 1 species